AAUGAGGUGCCUGACUAAAAGGAAUAUCUUGAUAGGAUAUAUAACGUAAUAAUUUUACCCUCAUUA
rnacentral:tRNA from 1 species